rnacentral:rRNA from 1 species
UACGAAGGGGGCUAGCGUUGUUCGGAAUUACUGGGCGUAAAGCGCACGUAGGCGGAUACUUAAGUCAGGGGUGAAAUCCCGGGGCUCAACCCCGGAACUGCCUUUGAUACUGGGUAUCUCGAGUCCGGAAGAGGUGAGUGGAAUUCCGAGUGUAGAGGUGAAAUUCGUAGAUAUCGGGAGGAACACCGGUGGCGAAGGCGGCGAUCUGGGUAGAUACUGACGCUGAGGUGCGAAAGCGUGGGGAGCAAACAGG